GUAAGUCAUUCUGAGAGGUGACAGCAUGCUGGCAGCGCUCGCAGCCCUCCCUCGCUCUCGGCGCCUACUCGGCCUAGGCGCCCACUCUGGCCGCGCUUGAGGAGCUCUUGAGCCCGCCGCUGCACUGUGGAAGCCCCUUUCUGGGCUGGCGGAGGCCAGAGCCGGCUCCCUCAGCUUGAGAGGAGGCGUGGAGGGAGAGGCGUGGGCGGGAACCCAGGCUGCGCGCGGCGCUUGUGGGCCAGCGCGAGUUCCGGGAGGGCGUGGGUUCGGCGGGCCCCGCACUCCGAGCGGCCGGCUGGCGCCGCCGGCCUCGGGCAGUGAGGGACUUAGUAACUGGGCCAGCAGCUGUGGAGGGUGCACCGGGUCCCCCAGCAGUGCCGGCCCGCCGCCAGUGCUGCACUCAAGUUCUGGCAGGGCCUCAGCUGCCUCCCUGUGGGGCAGGGCUUGGGCCUGAGACUCCCCCAUUCCCCGGCCGCCAUGGGCUCCUGCACGGCCUGAGCCUCCGGACGAGCUGCGCCCCCUGCUCCGCAGCGCCAGGUCCCAUCAACCACCCAAGGGCCGAGGAGUGCAGGCGCACGGCAGGACUGGCGGGCAGCUCUGCCUGUGGCCCUGGUGCAGGAUCCACUAGGUGAAGCCAGCUGGGCUCCUGAGUCUAGUGGGGACUUGGAGAAUCUUCAUGUCUCUCUAAGGGAUUGUGAAUACACCAAUCAGCACGCUGUGUCUAGCUCAAGCGAAACCACGAACCCACUGGGAGGAAUGGACAAUUCCAGAUGUGCUGCCUUAAGAGCUGUAACAGUCACUGCGAAAGUCUGCAGCUUCACGCCUGAAGCUAGCGAGACCACGAACCCAGCAGAAGGAAGAAACUCCGAACACAUCUGAACAUCAGAAGGAACAAACUCUGGACAUGCUGCCUUUAAGAACUGUACUCACUGCGAGAAUCAGUGGCUUCAUUCUUGAGGAGGAAUGUGGAGAUAAAUGCCCACAAGUGCAUCGCUGAUAUGUCCUACCAAACAAGGUAGAUAGACUAGCAAUCGGUAAGUCACAGAAUUCGAAAACAAGUAUUAACACUUUUGGUUCCGUAGUUAUCUAAAGGCUAUUUGCUUUUUAUCUGGGCUGUAUUUUGUAUUUUUUCCAAGUAUAAACUUAUUUGUCCUCAUAAUUCAGAGAAGUGAAUUCCCUCACCUUAGAGUCCUCAUUUUUGUAGGUACUAUGAAAGCCACAUUACUUAACAUUUUUGUCUCAAUUUUUCCACCUACAAAACAGGAGCUAGAUACAAUCUUGUUCAUGCUGCCAUAUUUAAUGCUUGUCUAAGUAUUUAUGAUAUUCAGACAUAGUCAUCUUUGUUUUUCCUUCAGAAACUUCAGCUUUCAGUCAGGUUGGCCCAGGUAAAAAGAUGAAGACAGGUCAAGUCUGAUUCUGGGGCUUUCUGUUCACUGCUAUGGUUGGUUUUUCGCUUGUUUCUUCAUGCCGUUUUUUCACAUUUCCAUUUUCUCUCUUAGUGAGAUAAUUAAUGUAAAAAGUGAACUAAAUGGUGUUUGGGGAUGGUAAGUCUUGAGCAUGUAGACAUUGUAUCCUGAGUCUCACAGUUCUGCACAAGUUGCUCAAAUCACACUGUAAACGUCAUCACAUUUUCCAGAGCCCAGGAUGGCUGGUUGGCUUCCAGCUAUGAGAAAUGGCUUCCUGAACAUGGGCUGGUGAAUCUGAUGCUUUCAAGAUUUGUGUAGCCUGUGUCUUCUCAGCUCUGAGGAUUUAGUCAUUAAGUUCUCAGCAGGAAGGGGAAUUCUAGGGCUGUUUACAUCACGUAGUACAAACCACAUUUGAUUAUGUGACACAUCAAGAAUUCAUUUAAAUCCAUAGACAAAUCAAGAUUCCUCACAGAAUUAC
rnacentral:lncRNA from 10 species